rnacentral:rRNA from 1 species
AGAGUUUGAUCCUGGCUCAGAAUGAAACGCUGGCGGCGUGCUUAACACAUGCAAGUCGUGCGCGAAGGUGGCUUCGGCCACCGGAGAGCGGCGAACGGGUGAGUAACACGUGGGUAAUCUGCCUGGGAGCGGGGGAUAACCUGGGGAAACUCGGGCUAAUACUGCAUACGUUGGAGAGAUGGUGAUCUUUCCAGGAAAGCUGGCCUCUACUUGUAAGCUAGCACUCCCAGAGGAGCCCGCGCCUGAUUAGCUAGUUGGUGAGGUAAUGGCUCACCAAGGCGACGAUCAGUAGCCGGCCUGAGAGGGUGAUCGGCCACACUGGGACUGAGACACGGCCCAGACUCCUACGGGAGGCAGCAGUGGGGAAUAUUGGACAAUGGGCGCAAGCCUGAUCCAGCAACGCCGCGUGGAGGACGAAGGUCUUCGGAUCGUAAACUCCUGUCAGGUGGGGCGAAGGUUGCGGGGUGAACAAUCCCGUAGCUUGACGGUACCACCAGAGGAAGCCCCGGCUAACUCCGUGCCAGCAGCCGCGGUAAUACGGAGGGGGCGAGCGUUAUUCGGAAUUAUUGGGCGUAAAGGGCGCGUAGGCAGCUCGAUAA